rnacentral:rRNA from 1 species
UGGGGAAUAUUGCACAAUGGGCGCAAGCCUGAUGCAGCCAUGCCGCGUGUAUGAAGAAGGCCUUCGGGUUGUAAAGUACUUUCAGUCGGGAGGAAGGUGUCAAGGUUAAUAACCUUGGCAAUUGACGUUACCGACAGAAGAAGCACCGGCUAACUCCGUGCCAGCAGCCGCGGUAAUACGGAGGGUGCAAGCGUUAAUCGGAAUUACUGGGCGUAAAGCGCACGCAGGCGGUUGAUUGAGUCAGAUGUGAAAUCCCCGGGCUUAACCCGGGAAUUGCAUCUGAUACUGGUCAGCUAGGGUCUUGUAGAGGGGGGUAGAAUUCCAUGUGUAGCGGUGAAAUGCGUAGAGAUGUGGAGGAAUACCGGUGGCGAAGGCGGCCCCCUGGACAAAGACUGACGCUCAGGUGCGAAAGCGUGGGGAGCAAACAGG